UUUGUUUUCUGGUUGGCUGGAAAUAUAAAAGAAUAAUUGAAAAAAAAAAAGACAAGAUUUUUACAAUGUAGAAAAUGGAAUCUGUAACGAAUGGCCGAUUAAAAGUAUCUGCUUUUGCCUUGAUCGAAAUGCAGUAAUGAGAAAAGUAAGUACAUCCAGGCUAUUACGUAAGCCCGCCAUCUAUACAGAGCACCGACAGCCCAUCGAUCCGAUUUUGCCGAGCACGUACACACGCACACACGUCCUCCUGGACUCGUUUCACUAAUGUGUGGGAGCAACCUGGCGAGACGGCGCUGCACGUAUCGAAAAGAGGAUUUUAUAGAUUGACGUGAUUACAAUCUCUUGAAUAAAUCCCCACGAAGAACGACCAAGAAGAUCAUGCGAUGAUCAAGUUGUCAUUGAUCAACUACUGCGUGCACAGUCAUGCGAAAACGAUGGAAAUGUGAUAAAAACUAGUUCAUACUUAAUUUUUCAAAUCACGUCUACUGCACAUCAAUCAACGAUAAACGGAGACAAAUUCCAGCUACGAAAAGAUGAAAACAAUUUGUUAAUUCAACCGAUGAUGGAAGACGACAAAGGUGGACAACUGAAGUUUCUGGUUAUUCAAAAAUUGAUGCGUGCUGUUGUUUUGUAUUCAACUUUGCCUUUAUUUUUUAAAACUCUUCUCUCAGCGACUAGCACAUCAGUACUCCACCCAGGGCCUUGCGGUUCAAUAACGUCAUUAAGUAUGUAUAUCUUUUCUAGGCAUUCCUGCCUCUAUGCACUUUUGUUUGCUGUGUAUGUAGUAUACUUAAACACCAUCUAGCAUAUGCACAUAUACCAGGAUUAGCAUAAAGCC